CGGCAUCAUGCCUGGCAUCCCACCAGACAUUCCAGUGUUGGGCCCCAACAGGAUCUGAGGAGGACAGUUUGAUAUGAUAACCGGCGCAAGGGGGCACUCGAGCGGAAAAGUGUGUGUCUGUCCAACCUGUUCCUGCGUUCUUGUCAUGGUGAAAUGUUCCCGAUGGUUGCAACGAACAAAUCACCUGUCUCUGCUGCUGUAACUGCUGCUGCUCCAGCUGUAGCCGCUCAGUCUCAAACACAACAGGG